GAUAGGAUGGUUUCAAGCCACUAUAAAACUGUGUUUCUAUAUUUUUACAGCAGAGUUUAGUGGGAUAUUUGAAACCGUUUAAAUUCAGUUUAUCUUUUAUAAAUAUGGGUAUACAAGAAAUGAAUUUCGUCGGGAUACUGCUGCUCUUUGUCAAUGGUAUCGUAGCAUUGAAUACCUCGGUUACAGGUAAUUUGGAUACAACAACGACAAGAGCAACACCACUGCCAACAAUUGAGAUUAUUACCGGCCCGCUUGUUUCAUCACGCCAGAAUGGAGUUUGUGCAGAAGCCAAAGCGUGUUUUAAUGAAGAAAUUUCAAAAUAUUUUCCUAUUUUGCCAUGGCAACCAAGACCAACUCCUGUUCCAGAUAUAAAUGAAUUGUGCCGAAUUUUCCCUGAGGUUAAAGAUUGCUACCUAAACAAAAGGGCUGGGUGUCAAGAACCUGCUACUAGCACAGUAUCACAAGAUAGUAUCAUUGCUUCAGUUACUUAUUUAUGUACCGACCAAGGAAAAAAAUCAUUAACCACAAUUGAAGAUUGUUUUAAAGAUAAUAGAACUUUAGUAAAAGCUCAACUCUGUGACUAUGUAACAUCUAAAGAUAUUGACAAUUCUAACCCUUGCAGUUUUUUAAAUUUCAAUUUAAAUUGUAUCAUUAAUGUAACCAGAACUAAUUGUGGCGAGAGUGAUGCCAGAUUGGUAACCAAUAUAAUCGAGCCAUCCAUUAUACCCUUUGAACGUGCUCAGAAUUGCUCUGUACAAAUACAUACGGAUGGAAAAAAUGGAAAUGAUGGAAACAGUGGUUCUAAAAUAACAGCCAGUUGGACAAUUACUGUUUUGAUUAUUAAAUUAUUUAUAAAUCUUUAAGAUAUUCCAAACUGCCCCAAUGAUGUAUAUAUGCAGGUAACUGACUGUUAGAUUUCACCUUGGCAAUCUCAGGAUAAUAAAAACUGAAAUGAGGACAGACUUAAAACGCGUCGACCAGAUUUAUUUUAAAAACGGGAAUUUUUUUUAUUUCAUUUGCAUGCCCAACGUUCGAAAAAUAAGUCAUGGACCACAGAAUAACAAAUCUGGUCAACUUCCUAAAAUGACGCACUUUCAAAUUAUAGCCCAUUUGUCACAAGUUUGUAAUCUUAUGCAACAAGAGAGAGAGAGAAAUGGGCUUUAACGUCCACUCGACACAAAAUAGGUCAUUUUGGAACUAACAUGGUUCAAUUUUAUAGGGAUCUGUAGUUGUCACGUAUAAGCGGGGAAUCGAAACCACGCCACUCGACUCAAUGAUGGACCUUCUGAUAUAACACGCAUGGGUUAAACCAUUCGGCCACCAAACAUCCCUUUAUGCAACAAACAAUGAAGCACUGAUAUACAAUAUGCCUCUGUAGUAUUAUUACAGUUGUUAAGUAUCUGCGACUGCCAAUCAAAUUUGAAAAUUGUCAAGUUCUAGUCCCUUUUUAUGCUAGGUUCCCACUGUCGUGUGAUGCGUUACGAUAGGAUUGGCUCUAUUUAGUCCACGAUCUGGUACGUGCAGAUAAGUUCGGAUACGUUUCGAUACGAUCAACACGAUCACUACGACUGACCACAAUAUAUGAUAAGACCUGAUAGUAACACAACGAUUACUCCACGAUUUCAAUCGUAGUGCGAAUCGUGAUAGUCGGAACCUAGCAUCAGGUAUGACCAAGCUAAUUUAUUUUUAACACAAUUUUUUAAUAACUGUGUAACUCAGUAUUUUUUUACAUGUACAUGUAUAUACAAAACAUUUUUGUAAAUUUUAUUUAAAGUCCUACAGUUUAUUAUUUUAUACUUAUUUGUAUUUCAAAAUGAUCAAGUUCACCAUUAGCGUUCGAUCCUUGCAUUGGCCGAGAAAGUUCAUCCAGAUUUUCUGGCGUGGUAUCCCUUUGUCAGUGAUGCAGGACGCAGGGCCUGGCAAGGACAGCUGCCUAGUCGUUCGGAUGGGACGAAAAACCGAGGCCCCGUGAAUUCGAUCUAAGAGUAGGCCGUAGUGCCGCUGUCCGGGCAAAAUUUCCUUCAUAGUACACUGUAUGGCAUAUGCCCGUCUUCAUUAGUCCUGUUCGGAGCAGAACAGUAGGACGUUAAACCCAUUUCAUUUCAGUUCACCAUUAGGUCAUACAAUACAAAUAUUCUGGUUUUCAGAUAAUCAUUCCUCACUUCAAAAAUUUCAAAAAAUAAUUACGAAACUCUAUGCACACUUUUUGAAUGAAUCCAAAAUAUGGCAUCAGGCUCAUCUAUGAAGUACACAACAGUGAUAAAUGUUACUGACAAUCAUAGAUGAAGCUGGAUAUUUACACAUUUCUAUAAACACGAAAUAAAUGUUAGUGCCUUGAAAUGUGAUGUUUAUGAGAAGCCAUUUAGCCCAGUAAAUAAACCUCCCGGCAUCAGAUGUUUGGUAAGGAUUGUCUGGGAACAAGAAUUUUUUUGUGUGUGGCCUUAAUCCCUUUUGUAGUUAUGCAAAAGCAAAUCACAACUUAUUUUAUAUAGGAAGUUUAUUGCUGCCGAUUUUAAAUACAGAUUCUUAAUUUUUUGUAAAUAAUAUUUUACUAUUAUUUCCAAGAACAGAUAUGUCAGAUAUUUAUAUAUUUUGUUAAUAAAAUUGUAAAAAUUCA